rnacentral:rRNA from 1 species
CAUGUCUUUUUGAUAAUAAUUUAAAGUCUGACCUGCUCAAUGAAUUUUUAAAUUGCCGCAGUAUUCUGACUGUGCAAAGGUAGCAUAAUAAUUAGUUUCUUUAUUGGAAGCUGGAAUGAAUGGUUGGACAAGAAAGUUUCUGUCUCUUUAUAAUUUUUUAUUUAAUUUAAUUUUUAAGUUCAAAAGCUUAAAUUUUUUUAAAAGACGAGAAGACCCUAUAGAGUUUUAUUUUUUUUUAAUUUGUUAUUUUUAGGAAUUUAAUGUUUUAAUUUUUAAAAAAAUUUGGUUGGGGUGACUUAAAGAUUUAAUUAACUCUUUAAAUUAUAAUCAUUGAUUUGUGAAUUUUGAAUCUAUAUUUUUAAAUAUAAAAUAAAUUACCUUAGGGAUAACAGCGUUAUUUUUCUUUAGAGUUCUUAUUGAAAGAAAAGUUUGCGACCUCGAUGUUGGAUUAAAAUUUGCUUUAGGUGUAGCAGCUUAAGGGCUAAGUCUGUUCGACUUUUAAAAUUUUACAUGAUCUGAGU